rnacentral:rRNA from 1 species
GGCCUAUUGAUUAUAAUUUGAGGUYUGACCUGCCCAAUGAUAGAUAGUAUUGAAUGGCCGCGGUAAUUUGACUGUGCAAAGGUAGCAUAAUAAUUAGUUUUUUAAUUGAAAGCUUGUAUGAAAGGUUUGAUGAGAAGAUAGCUGUCUCUAUUUAAAUUUAUUAAAAUUUUAUUUUUAAGUAAAAAGGCUUAAAUAUUUAUAGAAGACGAGAAGACCCUAUAGAGUUUUAUAUUAAGUAAUAUAAUAAGAAUUUAGAAUUAUGAAUUUUUAUAUUACUUAGUAUUUUGUUGGGGUGACAAAAAAAUUUAUUAAACUUUUUUUAUAUAAAAACAUUAAUUAAUGAAUUUUUGAUCCUUAAAUAAAGAUUAUAAGAUUAAAUUACCUUAGGGAUAACAGCGUAAUUUUUUUUUAKAGUUCAAAUUGAAAAAAAAGAUUGCGACCYCGAUGUUGGAUUAAAAAUAAUUAUUGGKGUASCASCUAAUAAAUUAGGYCUGUUCGACCUUUAAAAUUUUACAUGAYCUGAGUUUAAACCGGUGUGAA